AGAGUUUGAUCAUGGCUCAGGACGAACGCUGGCGGCGUGCUUAACACAUGCAAGUCGAACGGAAAGGCCCUUCGGGGUACUCGAGUGGCGAACGGGUGAGUAACACGUGGGUGAUCUGCCCUGCACUUUGGGAUAAGCCUGGGAAACUGGGUCUAAUACCGAAUAGGACCACGCGCUUCAUGGGGUGUGGUGGAAAGCUUUUGCGGUGUGGGAUGGGCCCGCGGCCUAUCAGCUUGUUGGUGGGGUAAUGGCCUACCAAGGCGACGACGGGUAGCCGGCCUGAGAGGGUGACCGGCCACACUGGGACUGAGAUACGGCCCAGACUCCUACGGGAGGCAGCAGUGGGGAAUAUUGCACAAUGGGCGCAAGCCUGAUGCAGCGACGCCGCGUGAGGGAUGACGGCCUUCGGGUUGUAAACCUCUUUCACCAGGGACGAAGCGCAAGUGACGGUACCUGGAGAAGAAGCACCGGCCAACUACGUGCCAGCAGCCGCGGUAAUACGUAGGGUGCGAGCGUUGUCCGGAAUUACUGGGCGUAAAGAGCUCGUAGGUGGUUUGUCGCGCUGUUCGUGAAAACUCACAGCUUAACUGUGGGCGUGCGGGCGAUACGGGCAGACUAGAGUACUGCAGGGGAGACUGGAAUUCCUGGUGUAGCGGUGGAAUGCGCAGAUAUCAGGAGGAACACCGGUGGCGAAGGCGGGUCUCUGGGCAGUAACUGACGCUGAGGAGCGAAAGCGUGGGGAGCGAACAGGAUUAGAUACCCCGGUAGUCCAA
rnacentral:rRNA from 1 species